rnacentral:lncRNA from 1 species
AUGUUUUAUGCUGUGAUGUGGUGUAUUUGGGGCUUUAUGAUUAUAAAUACUUCUAUUUACCUCUUUGGUGUAAGAAGGAUGUCCUAAGUUAACUAUUCAACUAUUGUUAGUUCAUACCGAUUGGUAGUUGUCCAUAAAGGUAGCUUGUUGUAUUCUGUGCAGCUAAAUGUAGAUCAAAUUCUAAUUACAGAAGUUCAUUGCACAUGUUCUUUGACCACACAUGUCUCCUCUUUUUCUUAAACCUUCCCAUUCUGUUUUGUGCAGUCUUCCCCUUCUCUUUCUCUUUGUUUCUAUUUCUUGCUACCCCUCUUUGUCAUGGUUCACUGGAAGUUAUUCUAUUCUUUUUUUUUCAGUUUUAGUAUAAUUAGAGUUAUCUGAAGUUAAUAAUUCUAGAUGGUUUCUUAGUCAUAGCUUCAUUUAGAACUCAAAUGAAUUUGUAUGUAAGUUCAGUAAUUAAAGACUGUUUGAUCUUGCUUCACUAGAGUGGCUAAACUUGUUUUUUGUGACUUCCAUAUAGCUCCUGAAGUGGUUAAGAAGGCUGGGAUACCUCAUUCAGAAGGCUUAAAGUUUUGUACACUCAAGCAAGGGAUCUAUAGGAAAGUGAAGCAAGGUAUAUUUAGUUGGGACUUUUCCCCUUAUCUUUUUUUCUUUGUUCCAUGU